CUUUGAUUGAUUGCAAAAGAAAAAUAAGACAAUUGAAUAUUCUGUCUUUUUUCUAGAUCAAACAUCAAACUGCCAAAGACAGAAAAUUAUUUACUGAUGUAUAUUAUUUGACAAACUAUUAAAAGGAAUGACCCCACUAUUUAUGCAGUUUUAAGCAGAGAAGGAGAGUCUCCAGGAACUGUACGAAUUAAUCAACUUGAGCAAUCAGCCUGUUUUACAGCCUCCUGCCUUGUAGACUACUUUUUCCAAAACUCUAUGUGGGAUGUGGUCACCUAGUUGGUUGGAACCAGCUCCUGACAGACCCCAGCAACUGACAGAUGAACCUGAGUGAACUUUCCUCAUUAUCAUGCUAAAGUCUCCAUCCCGAGAGGAACUAUAGCUUCAUUACCAGAACAUGCAACCUUUGUGCUGGCAUAAAGGCUCACUGCGUCUAAAGCAACUGGGACCCGUCCCGUACAUGUGAUGAUGCACACUCUCCUCUCUCCAUAGCGCCAUAAACUCUCUCAGGGAGACACUGCUUUGAGGAAUGCUUCCUUACUUGUGCUAAGUAAUAAAACUAUUGAUUAAAAUCUGCAUUCUUGUGGAUUCGUUUGUUACUGGACAAGUGAGUGAAUUCAUUUUUUUUCAGGUUACUCAGUCAUCAAAAUAAACUUUGUGGAUAUGAUUGUACAUUACUUAUUCUUUUAUUCUCAUACCUCCAUUUAUAUUCAUGUUCUGUUAAUUCUACAUUCCUAAAGAAUUAAACUUUCUCUUCCAAAAGAUCUAUUAUGGCCUUUAUACAAUGUCUUUA
rnacentral:lncRNA from 1 species